GACGAACGCUGGCGGCGUGCCUAAUACAUGCAAGUUGAGCGCUGAAGGUUGGUGCUUGUACCAACUGGAUGAGCAGCGAACGGGUGAGUAACGCGUGGGGAAUCUGCCUUUGAGCGGGGGACAACAUUUGGAAACGAAUGCUAAUACCGCAUAAAAACUUUAAACACAAGUUUUAAGUUUGAAAGAUGCAAUUGCAUCACUCAAAGAUGAUCCCGCGUUGUAUUAGCUAGUUGGUGAGGUAAAGGCUCACCAAGGCGAUGAUACACAGCCGACCUGAGAGGGUGAUCGGCCACAUUGGGACUGAGACACGGCCCAAACUCCUACGGGAGGCAGCAGUAGGGAAUCUUCGGCAAUAGACGAAAGUCUGACCGAGCAACGCCGCGUGAGUGAAGAAGGUUUUCGGAUCGUAAAACUCUGUUGGUAGAGAAGAACGUUGGUGAGAGUGGAAAGCUCAUCAAGUGACGGUAACUACCCAGAAAGGGACGGCUAACUACGUG
rnacentral:rRNA from 1 species